GAAGUGAGAGACAGAGCUGCUAAAUCCCCCAAGUUAAGCUCCUCACCUCCUCCUUCUCUGAAGCGCUACUCUUUCAUCAGCCUGGUUUUAUCGCUGCGUCAGAGACCGGCAGUGUUUGAAGUUUCAAGCUUUUCCUCUUCGCUAAAACCGCACAUCGAGGGAUGUGACUUAUGCUGCACCGACUCUUUGUACAUACAGCACAGGUAUCUCUGAGAAUAGACGGCAGUGUCUUUCUUGGUUCUUCAGGGAGCGGGGAAAAGCAAAGGGAGCCCUGAAGCUGUCUCACAGGCACAAAACCAGAAGAGGAAAAAAGGUAAAUAUGGAUUAUUGCGCUGCAUGAGCGCAAAUAGGGAGCAGGUAAAAGAAUAACAGUCAUAAAACUCAAAAUGAAAAUUAAAGGUUCACUUUCUAAUA
rnacentral:lncRNA from 1 species